rnacentral:rRNA from 1 species
GUCUAUGCCUAUGUCACCCUGAACAAGCCCAAUGUCUGAUCUUGGAAGCUAAGCAGGGUUGGGCCUGGUUAGUACUUGGAUGGACUACCACCUGGGAAAACCAGGUGCUAUAGGCA